CCGUCAAAGGCACAAAAAUGCAAUGUGUAUGAAAAAUCAUUUCUACAUAUAUAAUCUCGAAUAUUAUUCAUUUGAGUCCAUAACACUUUUAACAUCCUCAUAAAAACUCUCCUCUACCCUAAAAAUAACAACAUUCUAACAUUAUGUCACUGUUACAACUUAUCCUAAAAAUCAAAAAGAAAUCACACUUUUUCUACUCAUAAAAUGUUCACUAUUUUCCCCAAAGCAUAUCCUUUAUUCCCACAAUUUCCCCUUUUAAGUUUGGUGUACAACUUCUUAUUAACACCAGCAAUUUAUCUUCUAAACAGAAUUCGGUUCAUUUUACUCCUUUCUUUAGAAUUAACAAUCUCUGCCUCAGUUUUACCAUCUCUAAAUUAUCAAACAACCCCAAUCAUUAUAAAAUCCUAGUAAAACCCCUUUCAAAUUAAACAAAUUAAAUCUUAAAUCCCUCUCUUUUUUGACACAUCUCAUGUGGCAAAAAACUCAACAUGCUCCACCCAAGCUUAACAAAUCAAAAGGAAAAAAGGUUAGUCAUUUCAUUUCUCAGAACAGCUCAGCAAUUCUCCUCUCCGGUGUUUUGCUCCAGCCCUGAAAACCUGUGUUUAAGGAACAAAAUCAAUUCAAUCAUCAUGUCAAAUCUCCUCCAACUCGUUGCUCCAUGCAAAGUCUGGAUCCUUGGAAUUUCCUGAAAACAAAACCUUUACUCAACUCUCCCCCUAUAUGAUCCAAUCUGUGUCAUGACACAAAAUAAACUUAAACAGAACAGUUAUUAAUCAUGAGUUACCCCAGUUAAUGGUAACUUGAAUUUCAUCAAACAAUGUUUCCCUUUUGGCAUUUAGCAUUCUCCCAACAAUAUAAUGUAAUCCCAUAAUCUAACCCCAGUAAAAAGAAAUUUUCUCCAAGCAUACAUCAGCAUCCCAAAAUCAGCAUCCCCAGAUUUAAGUCUCCCACUUGUCCUGCUCAUGGCAAAAGCAAAACAAAGCAUCCCCUUUCUUUUCCUCACAUGGUAAAUUUGUCCACAUUUAUUCAUUCCCACCUUAGUCCAGUCACUCACAUUCACUCACUUGCAUUCACACAUGAUAUUUUUGCUGAUCUGCAGCCUCCUGCGCACGUCAUCAGAUGCUCCACAUCAGCAAAAUGAGCUCAAUCAUUUGUUUUAUUUCGUUUUCUUUUUUAGGAAAAUAGUUCUCUAUACUUUUGACUGGAUUGAAUCGAUACAACCCAUUUUUAGACAGAGACUCGCCGCCAAUCAGCCUCUGAUUGUAAUCAAUUAUAAUUCUGUAAAGCCCACCUGAUUUUUGUACUUGGUAAUUUUGUCAGCGCCGUCCGUUCACUCUCUUCCAGGCCUGCUUAGAACAAAAAUGAAAAAAGAGAGCUGAUUAUUAGCUCAUCAAAGUACAAAACAAAAUCACCUGACAGGUUUUUUCCUGAGUGCACUACUACAAAAAAUUUUUGGGGCCCCUCUCAGACAUAUCCAUGUCUAAUCAAACUCCCUCUCUGGAAAUAAUCAAACACCCUCAAAAAUCUGAAACAAUCUUAAAUUUCACCCGUUCAACACACCGAAAACCUCGCCAAAAGAUCAAAGACCG
ensembl:lncRNA